rnacentral:rRNA from 1 species
CCUACGGGAGGCAGCAGUGGGGAAUUUUGGACAAUGGGCGCAAGCCUGAUCCAGCAAUGCCGCGUGAGUGAAGAAGGCCUUCGGGUUGUAAAGCUCUUUUGUCAGGGAAGAAACGGUGAGUUCUAAUACAGCUUGCUAAUGACGGUACCUGAAGAAUAAGCACCGGCUAACUACGUGCCAGCAGCCGCGGUAAUACGUAGGGUGCAAGCGUUAAUCGGAAUUACUGGGCGUAAAGCGUGCGCAGGCGGUUUUGUAAGUUUGUCGUGAAAUCCCCGGGCUCAACCUGGGAAUGGCGAUGAAGACUGCAAGGCUAGAGUUUGGCAGAGGGGGGUAGAAUUCCACGUGUAGCAGUGAAAUGCGUAGAUAUGUGGAGGAACACCGAUGGCGAAGGCAGCCCCCUGGGUCAAAACUGACGCUCAUGCACGAAAGCGUGGGGAGCAAAACAGGAUUAGAUACCCUGGUAGUCCACGCCCUAAACGAUGUCUACUAGUUGUCGGGUCUUAAUUGACUUGGUAACGCAGCUAACGCGUGAAGUAGACCGCCUGGGGAUACGGUCGCAAGNUUAAAACUUAAGGAAUUGACCGGNNGAGAGNGCGAGACGACGACGAGGAGAG